CCUGACGCAGCGACGCCGCGUGAGUGAUGAAGGUCUUCGGAUUGUAAAGCUCUGUCUUUUGGGACGAUAAUGACGGUACCAAAGGAGGAAGCCACGGCUAACUACGUGCCAGCAGCCGCGGUAAUACGUAGGUGGCAAGCGUUGUCCGGAAUUACUGGGCGUAAAGGAUGUGUAGGCGGAUAUUUAAGUGAGAUGUGAAAUCCCCGAGCUCAACUUGGGGGCUGCAUUUCAAACUGGGUAUCUAGAGUGCAGGAGAGGAAAGCGGAAUUCCUAGUGUAGCGGUGAAAUGCGUAGAGAUUAGGAAGAACAUCAGUGGCGAAGGCGGCUUUCUGGACUGUAACUGACGCUGAGGCAUGAAAGCGUGGGGAGCAAACAGGAUUAGAUACCCUGGUAGUCCACGCCGUAAACGAUGAGUACUAGGUGUAGGAGGUAUCGACUCCUUCUGUGCCGCAGUUAACGCAAUAAGUAUUCCGCCUGGGGAGUACGGUCGCAAGAUUAAAACUCAAAGGAAUUGACGG
rnacentral:rRNA from 1 species